UUUUAUCCAGUGUGUGUGUGUGUGUGUGUUUUAUCCAGUGUGUGUGUGUGUGUGUGUGUGUUUUCUCCAGUGUGUGUGUGUGUUUUAUCCAGUGUGUGUGUGUGUGUGUUUUAUCCAGUGUGUGUGUGUGUGUGUGUGUGUGUGUGUUUUAUCCAGUGUGUGUGUGUGUUUUAUCCAGUGUGUGUGUGUGUGUUUUAUCCAGUGUGUGUGUGUUUUAUCCAGUGUGUGUGUGUGUGUGUGUUUUUUCCAGUGUGUGUGUGUGUGUGUUUUCUCCAGUGUGUGUGUGUGUGUUUUAUCCAGUGUGUGUGUGUUUCAUCCAGUGUGUGUGCGUGUGUUUUAUCCAGUGUGUGUGUGUGUGUUUUAUCCAGUGUGUGCGUGUGUUUUAUCCAGUGUGUGUGCGUGUGUUUUAUCCAGUGUGUGUGCGUGUGUUUUAUCCAGUGUGUGUGCGUGUGUUUUAUCCAGUGUGUGUGUGUGUGUUUUAUCCAGUGUGUGUGUGUGUGUGUUUUAUCCAGUGUGUGUGUGUGUGUGUGUGUGUGUGUGUGUGUUUUAUCCAGUGUGUGUGUGUUUUAUCCAGUGUGUGUGUGUGUGUGUUUUAUCCAGUGUGUGUGUGUGUUUUAUCCAGUGUGUGUGUGUGUGUUUUAUCCAGUGUGUGUGCGUGUGUUUUAUCCAGUGUGUGUGUGUGUGUUUUAUCCAGUGUGUGUGUGUGUGUGUUUUAUCCAGUGUGUGUGUGUGUGUGUGUUAUCCAGUGUGUGUGUGUGUUUUAUCCAGUGUGUGUGUGUGUUUAUCCAGUGUGUGUGUGUUUUAUCCAGUGUGUGUGUGUUUUAUCCAGUGUGUGUGUGUGUGUUGUUUUAUCCACUGUGUGUGUGUGUGUGUGUGUGUGUGUGUGUGUGUUUUAUCCAGUGUGUGUGUGUGUGUUUUAUCCAGUGUGUGUGUGCCUUCCCUGUGGCUCAGUUGGUAGAGCAUGGUGUUUGCAACGCCAGGGUUGUGGGUUCGAUUCCCACGGGGGGCCAGUACAAAAAAAAAAUAACAAUUGCAUGAAAUGA
rnacentral:lncRNA from 8 species